rnacentral:lncRNA from 10 species
ACAAUUAGAAACUAAGUGAAAAUACACAAAAUGCAUAAUUACUUUCUGGAACCUUCAUAGUAGGUGUUUUUAUCAUGCUAAGGCACAGAUAAGAAUAGUAAAAUCAGCAGCCCAAAGAAAAUAACCAUCUCAUGUCUAAACAAUUGAAAUUAACCCUUUAAGAUUAAACUGGCCUCAAGGUGUUCAAUGCAUAAUAACGAAAACAAAAGUCUGAAUCACAAACUGGACCCUGAAAUUAAGAGGAAAGUGGAACAGAAACGUCGCUGUAGUACACAUUAGUCUACUUCUCCUGUGUCUCCUUUGUCUCCUGUUUCAAAAGUCUGUUGGACUGAAAUAAUGCAACCAGUGUGUUCAGUGAUGAUGAUGAUGAUGAUAACAAUGACCAAUGACCACAAUGAGGACAACAAUAGUAACAGCACUAACAGAGAAAGGAUAUCUCCUAACCCAGAUAAUUUAGCAUGUUCUUCCCUAGCACCACUCUCUGGAAAAGUAGAAGCAGUACUAACUAAAGACACCUGCAAAGUAGAGCAUAAAGCAUUCCCACAGAUUCAGAGUUAAAGACGGUUACAUUUCGCAGGAAAUCAAGAAUCACAUGACCAGUCUGCCAAUUCUAUUGCCAACACACCUCUAAAAGGUCAUAAAGUGAUUUCUCCAGAAAUUUUAGUUGAUCCAGAAGUUCCUUUGAAGGUGUCAUUUUAAAGUGCGGAAGUACACUAGUAGGAACAUUCUUCUGUUAAAGAGUCUAUAAUUUUUUUUAUUUAGACUUUAUCAGGAUACAGCUAGAAGAACCAAAAAAUGAUCCUGCAGAUAUUACUUUAAAUGACUCUGGCCAAACUAAAUGUGAAUGAUGUAAUGUCUGAAAAUUACCGGUAGUGUUUCUGCAGAUGGUACCAGCAGUUUUUCAAAGGCUGGGACUAAGUCUGCAAAUGAAUAGGGAUAGAUAGAGUUUAGAAUAAUUGCAAAGAAAUAAAUAGGUUAACAAUUCAGGAAGAACAAAAUAUUAUUUUAAUUUUUCAAACUAUCUUUAACCCUCUAGAAAAUAUAGUAUUUGAAAGUAUUACUAACAUUAGUAUAAUGAAGAAUAUUUUUAAUUUUUCUGGGAAAAUUCUCUUUGAAUAAGCCAGUAGCAGAUGUGUUGCCUGUGAAGGAAGCAUCAAAGGAAGGCAUAAGCAAAACAAAAAUUUGAAAUGUGUACUUUGAAUCUAAAAUACCACUUUGAAACAAAUGAGAAUCCACUGUUUUGAUAAUGAGAAAUCAAUGAGAGAGCCAGGCCAUUUCCAUUAAUCCUAUAAAAAUAUUUGAUAGUAUAUUUACCACCUCCAGCUAAGGGAGAUAUCUGUUACUAAAGAGGACCUACACUGCCUAAAUGAAGGAAAAUUUCUUAGUGAUAUUAUCACAGAUUUUUAUUUGAAGUA